GUUGAUCCAUUGUUAAAAGCAUUUGCUUAACAAAUGUGUGCAUUGGAGAUCGCCUCCCUAGAGUUAAUCAGGGGGUACUGGAAUUCAAUGUGUAGCGGUGGAAUGCGUAGAUAUAUUGAGGAACACCAGAGGCUAAGGCGAGUGCCUAGGAUAUAACUGACGCUGAGGCUUGAAAGCGUGGGGAGCAAAUGGGAUUAGAUACCCCAGUAGUCCACGCCGUAAACGAUGAGCAUUGGGCAUUUGACAUCUGGUCGAGUGCUGUAGCUAACGCGUUAAAUGCUCCGCCUGGGUAGUAUAUAUGCAAAUAUGAAACUCAAAGAAAUUGACGGGGACCUGAACAAGUGGUGGAGCAUGUUGCUUAAUUCGAUAAUACACGAAAAACCUUACCAAGGCUUGUAAUCUAUUGCGAAGCUAUAGAAAUAUAGUGGAGGUUAUCAGUAAGACAGGUGGUGCAUGGCUGUCGUCAGCUCGUGUCUUGAGAUGUUUGGUUAAGUCCCGUAACGAGCGCAACCCUACUCUCUAGUUACUUAGUUCUAGAGUGACUGAAUCGUAAGAUAUAGGAAGGAUGGGGCCAAGUCAAGUCAUCAUGCCCCUUAUGCCUUGGGCUGCAAACGUGCUACAAUGGUAGGUACAAUGUGUUGCAAACUAGCGAUAGUGAGCCAAUCACCUAAAGCCUAUCUCAGUCCGGAUAAAAGGCUGCAAUUCGCCUAUUUGAAGUUGGAAUCACUAGUAAUCCUGUGUCAGCUAUAUCAGGGUGAAUACGUUCCCAGGUCUUGUACACACCGCCCGUCAAACUACGAAAGAAAGUACUAGUCAAAACCACAUUUAAUUGUGUCUAGAUUGGUAAUUUUGAUUGGAGUUAAGUCGUAACAAGGUAACCAAGGGC
rnacentral:rRNA from 1 species